GGCAGGAUGGCCGAGUGGUUAUGGCGUGUGACUCAAGCUUCUAGCUUCUCCGAUGGUCUAACAUCGAGGGUUUUCUCAUGGGCUCUGCCCGCGGGGGUUCGAAUCCCCCUCCUGUCA